rnacentral:tRNA from 1 species
UCCUUGGUAGUCAGUGGUUAAGACCCUGUACUUCCACUGCAGAGGACAUUGGUUUGAUUCCUGGUCAGGGAA